UACGUAGGUGGCAAGCGUUGUCCGGAUUUACUGGGCGUAAAGAGCGCGCAGGCGGUCGUUCAAGUCGCGUGUGAAAGCCCCCGGCUCAACUGGGGAGGGUCACGCGAUACUGAUCGACUCGAAGGCAGGAGAGGGUAGUGGAAUUCCCGGUGUAGUGGUGAAAUGCGUAGAUAUCAAGAGGAACACCUGCGGCGAAGGCGGGUUGCUGGGCCGACACUGACGCUGAGGCGCGAAAGCUAGGGGAGCGAACGGG
rnacentral:rRNA from 1 species